CCUACGGGAGGCAGCAGUGGGGGAUAUUGCGCAAUGGGGGAAACCCUGACGCAGCAACGCCCGCGUGAAGGAUGAAGGUCUUCGGAUUGUAAACUUCUUUUAUUAAGGACGAAGAAAGUGACGGUACUUAAUGAAUAAGCUCCGGCUAACUACGUGCCAG
rnacentral:rRNA from 1 species